rnacentral:rRNA from 1 species
AUUGAACGCUGGCGGCAGGCUUAACACAUGCAAGUCGAACGCGUGGCGGACGGGUGAGUAAUGUCUGGGAAACUGUCUGAUGGAGGGGGAUCACUACUGGACACGGUAGCUAAUACCACAUACCCUCAGAUGUGCCCAGAUGGGAUUAGCUAGUAGGUGGGGUAAUGGCUCACCUAGGCGACGAUCCCUAGCUGGUCUGAGAGGAUGACCAGCCACACUGGAACUGAGAAACGGUCCAGACUCCUACGGGAGGCAGCAGUGGGGAAUAUUGCACAAUGGGCGCAAGCCUGAUGCAGCCAUGCCGCGUGUGUGAAGAAGGCCUUCGGGUUGUAAAGUACUUUCAGCGGGGAGGCGUUACCCGCAGAAGAAGCACCGGCUAACUCCGUGCCAGCAGCCGCGGUAAUUC